GGCUUUAUAGUCAAAAUUAUGAUAUUAGAUUGCAAGUCUGAAGGUGUAAAUUACUAAAGCUU
rnacentral:tRNA from 1 species